AUGCUAACAUGAGACAAAAGGAGGAUCCCGGCCACGAAACCCUAGCCGCCAGCCUCCAAUCCCCUCCCGUGCUGCUCCUCCCCAACCCCCUCCACUCCAUCUCCAGCAAGCCAGCAGCGGCCGCGUGGACGACAAACGAGCAGCCGGGGUGGCCGCGAUCGUGGGCCUUGGGCUGCCUCUCCCUCCUCCCAUCGUCACCAUGGCCGGCCGGGAGCAGAGCCGGCCUUGGGCGCGAGCGCCGCCUCCAUUCGUCACCAUGUCCGGCUGGGAGCAGCGCCGGCGAGCGCCGCCUCCCGUUAUCGCCAUGGACAGCCGGUAGCCGCGCCGUCCUUGGGGGUGAGCAGCGACGGCCGACGGGCGCUGAGGUCCCCUGGCUGGCAUGGCCGCGCUCGCCUCGGUCUUCGUCGGCUCCGGCGAGGCAGGCCAUGGGUGUCGGCCGCAUCCUUCGUCGGCGGCGCGCUGGCAGUACCGGAGGGGAAAAGAUGGAGUUCAUUGGGAGAUGGGUUUGUGCUGGGAUCCCCUCUCCCCCAUGGCAUUAUCCGCAAGGCCCAUGAAAUUUCUUCAAGUUUAGAUUCAUCAAUAGAUGAUAGAAGGGACUGAGGCGAGAAAAGAUGGCAUUGAUUUGCACGCACUAGAGCAUGUGUCCGAUGGCUUGAUUAUGUUGUUUGCACUAGGAUUUCCUACUCAUGUAUUAUUCAAAAUCGAGUUGGGAGAAUUGCAGAAUUGCACUAGUGCAUAUGUGCUUCUGCAGCAGGUCACUGUCCAUUUGCCCCAGUAGCUCUUGGUGAGAGAUAAAACUACGUUGUUUUAAUGAAUAGAAUUUUCAUUUAUAUGUGAGGGCUUCAUUAUUCUGUAAAAUCAAUUGAAGGUAUCAUAUGCAUCUUGUACCCAAAAGUUAAAUAUAUUAUUGCAAUUAAGCAAAAAUGAGCUCAUGUAUGUUAGCUUUUUAUUGUGCGUGCUGGUGUAGAUUGAUCUGAACCAAGAACAAACUAUGUAUCCGAUGCAGGGAGGUAUUUGUCGUGUCACGGUCUGAGGCAGUGAAGCAGGUGGCGGCGAUACAUAAAACAUGAGAACAUAUAUCAUUGGGUGAGCCCUAGCUUUUAGUUCUAUUUGGAAGUACGAACUAUGAAUUGAUAUUUGGCAGCUCCUCUUUUUGAGUUUUCAUCUUCUUUAUACAUGCUAUCAAUCCUUUCUCCUUUAGGUUAUGUUUCGUUUGUUUAAGUGAGUCACCCAUUGAUUAUUGGGUUUCUGCAUUAGCCAUAAAAGUUAGCUUGGAUAUAUUAAGUCGGUAUUACUUAUUUACAACUAGAGCAUUUCUUAUUUGAUACCGUGAGGUGUAUUUACCUGGUUCAUAUAAUCAUUUAUUUGAUUAGGAAAUAUGAAGGUAAUUAAUACAAAGCUACCCUUAAAGUUUAGCCUUGGUUCUAUUCCUUUUUAGGUUCUACCUCGGCUUACCGCUUACAUAGUUGCUUUGUUCUUCCAUUUUUUUUGGGAGGUGUUCUUCUUGCUCAUUAAUUUGUGUGGUGUUUUGCAACUUUGAAGUUUCAUUUGUAGCCUGAAUGUGUUAAUAUGAAAGUGUGACUUUAGUACCAAAAAAUGCAUUCUUCAGAGAGCAGCUGCAGGUGCAUAUCUAUUUGCUUGUUUAUUUACAUCAAAACUCAUGAAAGUCAAGUCACAUGGCUCCAUCUAUAUUGUCCUAUGUAUAUUGGUAAAAUCAUUAGACAAAGCAUCACUCUGUUUAUUUUGUUCUAUGUAUAUUGAGUAGGUUAAGAAAGAGAAGCAUGGCUUUUAUUUUGUGUUGUUGGUGGUCUGUUCAAAAGGAAUGUAUGAUAUCUAAACUGCAAAGCAUUUUUGUGUCAAGUAUUGACUCCGAAACAUAUAUGCAUCAGUUUCCUUUGUGAUUGAUUUAUGUAAAGAAGGUAUGAUGUCUAGGCAACUGCAACACAUUUCGUUGUGGUUGAGAUUCGGUCCCAUGAUUCUGUUGUUGGUUUGAAGCCGAUUCGGCCGGCCAUGACCAAGGUGUAUUUGGAGGAAGAUAAUGAAGUUAUUAUUGCUUGGUAUCUGAUGUAUUUUGGUUCAGGUCAUGAUGAAAUUCAUAUGCCUAGAGCUCCUAGAGCUUAGUUGUUCCAGUCUGGAACUCUGGAUUAUAAUGUCAUAAGCUACUGGGCACUUAUUUCCAGUGAAGUACAUUUCAGAGAUAUUCCACCGAUUCCACUCACUUCCUAUAUAGGUCAGUUUCUCUACACCAUCCCUGUUGCAUCUCUAUCUCUCUCCCUUUUGGCCAGUUCUACGAAUCCACCGUUUCCCAAUUUCCUUGGUUCUUGUGGUGCAGAUGCGGCUCCUGGACACCAUCUUACUGAUGUGCUAAUAAAUCUCAAAACUCACAAGAUAACAUGUAAUGACUUUCACAAACUGAUGUCCUAUUUGGCAAUAUGUUCACAUAAGAGUUGAAUUGUCUUUUUUAUAUUUGCAGCGUUUAAUUUUCUGCAACAUUUAGAAGUGUGCAUGCUAUCUAAUAUGUGGUCUUCAUGUUUGGGAUAAAUUAUGGCUCUAGAGAAAUAUUAUUUUUCUAUUCGCUGGUCAGGAAUAAGCUAUCAUGGCAGACAGUUCAAAGGCUUAGUCAGGAAAGGAUUAAUUUUAUAUUUACUAGCACUACCUGUCAGGGGUAUUAACUUACGCAUAUGUAUCUAUUUGAGCUAAUUGUAUUUGUUUUUCUUCUAAUGCUCUCUGCUUAAUAUUUCUUUUUUGCAAUCUCCUAGAUUUACAUGUUGCAGCGUGGAGAAGUUCACCACUAUGGGAUGUUAUGAGGUUGCCGCUCCGAUCAAAGGAACUGUCUUAGAUGCAUACUCAGAUAAUAUUAUUUUUGAAUUAAUGUUCUAUUUAUUUUUGAUUAUGCAUAUAGUAGAUGCAUCAUUAGUAUUGUUUGAAGUAUUUGUAUUCAGGUUUGGUAUUUUGGUUCACAUACUGACAUCCUGACAUGGAAAGAGCGACUGAAAAAUUGAGUACCACAUACUGACAUCCUGAAGUCGCUCAUUUCAGCCAAUAGCGAGAUGUUUGGGCUUUGCCUCAUCUGUUACUUAUCUACUAUAUUGGAGGGAAGACGUACUAUUAGAAUAGUGCCUUUUUAUUCUUUUGCAAGUCAGAAAAUGUGGUAAAACUAUUCAAGCUCGGUCUGGCCAGGAUCUGAAGCAACCACUGGAACCAUAGAACAUGUCUUCAGACCUUUCUUCUUUGCGAACCAGUUUUUAUGUAUAUGACUAUAGAGUAUACCCCGUGGAGCACUAGCUUGAACUAAGUUUAUUUUAACUGCUCCCAGAAUCAUGCAACCAUCACAGAAAGGUUUGUUGGAUCCACUGUCCAAGAAGAAAAACUAACCACCUCCGUGUUGUAGUGAUAGCAGGUACGGUCCAGCCUAAUUCCAAUUAUGUGCAGGAGUAUUGUGUUUUCGAUUACGUGUUGGCCAUCGGUGUUACUCUUGUGUCAUUCGCAUGCUUUGGACUACAAAGCUCGGAGAAACUUGAGAUGAUGCUAUUUAACACUCCCUUUUAUUUUGGCCAUUCCAUCAUUGUGCAGAUCAGUUAAUGUGGAGAAGAACAAAAAGAAUGAUAGAAAUUGAGUCUAUCCUUUAGUGGAGAUCAGUUUAGAAACAUACUUGAGAGCACCUAUAUUCCUACAACAUAAUAUAGUACCAUUGUAUUUAUGAAUUCUCAGCUGAAUAUGAUCAGGCUGCUGUUACGCUCUUUUUAUGACCUGUUCAAUUUUCUAUAAAAUACAUACAUGUGUGCGAAAUUUCUUA